rnacentral:sRNA from 1 species
AUUAAUUACAUGAUAAUGCCAUUAGAAAAAUUUAAUCAAAAACAAAACUCUUUAAUGACGUCAUUAAGGUUACCAAAACUUUGAUAAAUAUAACGUGGUCUUACCUAGAUAUUCCUCUGGGUAUUCUUGUGAUUCAAUUAUGUUCACGUCUGAUCGGCGAAGACGUUUAAUAAGGGGUUUGUUCUCGGUGAGAAACCUUUUCCGAACAUAAGCAUCUACAGAUCGGAUGUAGAACCCACGUUGAGCCAUAGUUUGUUUCAUAUUGUCAAGAACCGUUUUCAAGCUCAAUUUCUUAGGGAUGUGAACAUAUUCUACAUCCCACAAUUCCUUAAGAAAAAAGAAAAAAAAGUAUACUGAUCCGAAAACAAUUAACAAAAAGCGAACAAUAUACUACUACAUUACCUUCAUAGGCUGCAAUCCACCUCUAUUAGUGACCACGUUGGUGCUUAGAUCUUGCAUUGGAGGAAAUCCUUUUGGAUGAGGAGUUUUUGAUUUUGAUAAAAACUCAUCUCUACCACGUUCAACUUCUUUCUCUUCCUGUUUCUUCACACUGCGUCUUCCCUUUCCUCCAGGUUUUCCUCUUCCUCCAACCAUUGUUGACAGAAUCGGCGCAAAAUGAGGGUUCAGACGAAAUGAUGGAGGUUUGUACGUAUUCUACACCCUCGGUGAUUUAUUAUAUAAAUAUCAAUUUAAGAGAAUAACCUACUCAAAUCACUAACUAAUCCAUGAUUAUUAUAUACUCAUACUUUGAGUUUGGAUUACAAAAAAAAUAUUCGAGUAUGAAAAAACUAUUAAAAUGGUUUUAUUGAAAAAUCAUGUAAUAUUAAAAUAAAUUUAGUAAUAGUACAUUAAAUAUGUAAAAUAAAAUAAU